rnacentral:rRNA from 1 species
AGUAACACGUAAACAACCUGCCUUCAGGAUGGGGACAACAGACGGAAACGACUGCUAAUACCGAAUAAGUUCCAAGAGCCGCAUGGCCCCAUGGAAGAAAAGGUGGCCUCUACCUGUAAGCUAUCGCCUGAAGAGGGGUUUGCGUCUGAUUAGCUGGUUGGAGGGGUAACGGCCCACCAAGGCGACGAUCAGUAGCCGGUCUGAGAGGUUGAACGGCCACACUGGAACUGAGACACGGUCCAGACUCCUACGGGAGGCAGCAUG